rnacentral:lncRNA from 1 species
AGUGAUUACAAUCCAGCGUGAAUAGUACGGGGAUACUGUUCACCUAUUUAUAGGCACGGGACGCAGCCCGGGUAAAAGUACAUUUAUAACCUUUAACAUUUGUUCAUAAUCAUAACAUAAAUCACUAGGGACUAACUAGUCUUUUCCUCCUCGGUUUGGUUUGAGCCGAAGCUGGUGACAACUUUGGCACUUGCCAUCGUUGCUUCUAGACGAGAUCUUCGCCUUGAGGACCUUCGACAGAGAAAAAUAAGAACCUUCAGACGAGAUUCAGAAUCACUUUGCCGAUGGUGUCUUUGUCUUGAGGACCUUCGGCGGAGAAGAAGACCACCAACAAGAGGUAUUUCCCCAUGACUAAUGCAACCAAUUUUCUAUUUGCUACAAAUUUUCAAAAGAAGCUUAACACAUCACACAUCCCUUAAUAUAGCGAUUAUAUCGCAAAUACAACCCAUCAAAAUAAAUAUACUAUAUUUCUUAAUCAGACCAUUGAUAUGGUACUUUGAUUUGAUUAUAUGGUGCGUCAUUAACAACCUUAUAAUCAUAAUGAACUCAAAAGCAAAAAAAAGAAUGAAGCAUAGUGAAAUCCAAUAGCACUGACAUAACUAUGUCUUAAUUUCCCGGCUAAAAAGGUGAACAUAAAUGCAAGCCAAAAAAAUUCACACCAAAACACAUUAGUCUGAAUGCAUAAAUAGCAAUGAUUGAUUCAAAAUACAAAAACAUAAAUUCAAAUCAAAUUUCCCUUCCAUUGAAUUCAUUUCGUAGAUACCCCCACUUAGUAAAGGAGCAAGGUGCAUCAUUUAAUAUAUAAAAAGUAGAUCAAUUUUAACACAACUAUUUUGGAAUGGUAGCAAAACCAUAGAAAAAACUGAAAUAGUGCAUUGGAGAUAAGCUAUGAUAAAUAUAUUAUCUAGAAAUAACAUACAAAAAAUUGAUUCCAUGGUGUAGUGGUUACCACUCCAGACUUUGAAUCUAGCAACUUGGGUUCGAAUCCCGGUGAGGACCUACUUUUGCGCUUUAUAGAAAGGAAAUUGGUGAUGUAUAAUUAAAUGGUCCACUUUUUUAUUUUUAAAAACUACAAUCUUAUUUCUAUAGUUGACUUAUAGAAAAGGAAUUGGUGAUUUGUACUUAGAAGGUCCAACCUUUUUUUUAAAAAAGUACAAUCUUAUUUUUGUAGUAAUAUCAUAAGAAUAGGAUUGCACAAAAAAUAACAUUUAAAAUGUUUUUGUAGUACAAACAUAACAUCUAAAAUAGCAACAAUUGUUCCUUUCUUUCUGCAACUAGGGUUCGGUAGAGGAGUAGGAUUGCACAAAAAAUACAUGACAAAAAUAGGACAACUUGGCUACUGAGAAAGAUCAUACAUGCAAUAAAAAAAGGGAGAUGACAAAUUUGGUUUCUUUGUCCACCCCAUAGAUGAACAAGUUGGAUUGUGAUACUCAAUAUGAGUGGUAUUUACACAUGACCAACGCAACUAGUUUUCUAUUUGCUACAAAUUUGUAAAAGAAGCUUAACACAACAUACAUUCCUUAAUAUAGGGAUUAUAUCGCAAAUACAACCUGCCAAAGCAAAUAUACGAUAUUUCUUAAUCAAACCAUUGAUAUCGUACUUUGAGUUGACUAUAUGGUGUGUCAUUAACAACCUUAUAAUCAUAAUGAACUCAGAAGCAAAAAUAGAAUGUAGCAUAAUUAAAUGCAAUAGCACUAACAUAAUUAUGUCCUGACUUCCUUGCUAAAAGGUGAACAUAAAUGCAAGCCCAAAAAAUUCACACCAAAACACAACAGUCUUAAUGCAUAAAUAGCAAUGAUUGAUUCAAAAUACACAAAUUAAAUUGGAAUCAAAUUUCUGUUCCAUUGAAUUCAUUUCGUAAACACCACUUAGUAAAGGAGCAAGGUGCAUCAUUUAAUAUGUAAAAAAGUAGAUCAAUUCUAACAGAACUAUUUUGGAAUGGUAGCAAAACCAUAGAAAAAACUGAAAUAGUGCUAUGGAGAUAAGCAAUGAUAAAUAUAUUAUCUAGGAAUAACAUACAAAGAUUGGUUCCAUGGUGUAGUGGUUAUCACUCCAGACUUUGAAUCUGGCAACCUGGGUUCGAAUCCCGGUGGGACCUACUUUUAUUUUUUAUAGAAAGGUAAUUGGUGAUGUAUCAAGUGGUCCAACCUUUUGAUUUUUAAAAACUACAAACUUAUUUCUGUAGUUGACAUAUAGAAAAGUAAUUGGUGAUGUGUAUCUAGAUGGUCCAACCUUUUUAUUUUUAAAAGUACAAUCAUAAUUUUGUAGUUCACUUAUUUAAUAAUUUAUGUGUUGUAUGAUUCUAAGAUAGGAGUGAUAGGUACAUAGGAAUAUCUUAUUGCUAUUGCCCCUUGUAGUGUGCAACUAGACUUGGGUAGAAUAGUCAGAAAAAUAUUGAAUAGGAAUAGGACAACUUGGCCAGUGAGAAAUGACAUACAAGUGACAAAAAAGGAGAAGAUAAUUUUGGUGUUUAGUGACCACCAAAGAGAUAAGUUGGUUGGAUAGUGAUGCUCAAGAGACAAAAGAUAAGCAAUGUACAUGAGAGAGACAACAUCUUCUCACAUGACCAAUAUGAAACUAAUUUUCUAUUUUCUACACAUUUGUAUAAGAUUCUUGACAUGCCAUAUAUUUCUUAAUACGCAGAGUAUUUUGCAAAUAUAACCAACCCAAGUAUCCAAGAUACCAUAUUUCAUAAUCAAACAAUUGAUAUGGUACUUCCAAUUGAUAAUAUUGUGUGUCAUUGACAACCCUAUCACACUGAUACACUCAAAAGGAGGAAAAUAUUAUGGAUAAUUAAACUUAGUAGCGCUGACAUAAUAUUGUUUUGAUUUCCAUGAUAAAAAUGGUGAACAUAAACGCAAGUCCAACAAAUUCACCCAAAAACACAUCUAGAAAGUAAAACUAGCAAGAAUUAUCCCUUGCCUUUUGCAACUACGGUUGGGUAGAGGAGAUAGGAUUGCACAAAAAAUACAUAACAAAAAUAGGACAACUUGCCUAGUUUGAAAGAUCAUACAUGCAAUAGAAAAAGGGAGAUGACAAAUUUUGUUUUUGUUGGCCAAGCAAAAGAUAAGCAAAUUGGAUUGUGAUACUCAAUAUGAGUGGUAUUUCCACAUGACCAAUGCAACUUGUUUUCUAGUGAAUCUUAACACAUCACAUAUUCCUUAAUAUAGGGAGUAUACCGCAAAUACAGCUUAGCAAAGCAAAUAUAUGAUAUUUCUUAAUCAAACCAUGGAUUUGGUACUUCAAAUUGACUAUAUGUUGUGUCAUUAACAACCUUAUAAUCAUAAUGAACUAACAAGCAAAAAAGAAAGAAGCAUAGUGAACCUAAUAGCACUUACAUAACUAUGUCUUGAUUUCCUUGCUAAAAGGUGAACAUAAAUGCAAGCCCAAAAAAUCACAACAAAACACAAUAGUCUGAAUGCCUAAAUAGCAAUGAUUGAUUCAAAAUACAAAAAAAUAAAUUGGAAUUAAAUUUCCCUUCCAUUGAAAUCAUUUCGUAGACACCACUUAGUAAAGGAGCAAGAUGCAUCAUUUAAUAUAUAAAAAUUAGAUCAAUUCUAACACAACUUUUGAAAAUUGAGCGGAACCAUAGAAAAAUUGAAAUAGUGCUAUGGAGAUAAGCUAAGAUAAAUAUAUUAUCUAGGAAUAACAUACAUAAAUUGGUUCCAUGGUGUAGUGGUUAUCACUCUAGACUUUGAAUCUAGCAACCUGGGUUCGAAUCCCGGUGGGACCUACUUUUAGUUUUUAUAGAAAGGGAAUUGGUGAUGUGUAAUCAAAUGGUCCAACCUUUUGAUUUUUGAAAAGUACAAUCUUAUUUUUGUAGUUGACUUAUAGAAACGUAAUUGGUGAUGUGUACUCAGAUGGUCCAACCUUUUUAUUUUUAAAAGUACAAUCACAUUUUUGUAGUUCGCUUAUUUAAUAUGUUAUGUGUUGUAUGAUUCUAAGAUAGGAGUGAGAGGUACAUAGGAAUGUCUUAAUGCUAUUGCCCCUUGUAGUGUGCAACUAGACUUGGGUAGAAUAGUCAGAAAAAUAUUGAAUAGGAAUAGGACAACUUGGCCAGUGAGAAAUGACAUACAAGUGACAAAAAAGGAGAAGAUAAUUUUGGUGUUUAGUGACCACCAUAGAGAUAAAUUGGUUGGAUAGUGAUACUGAAGAGACAAAAGAUAAGUAAUGUACAUUAGAGAGACAACAUCUCACAUGACCAAUGCAACUAAUUUUCUAUUUGCUACACAUUUGUAUAAGAUUCUUGACACGCCAUGCAUUUCUUAAUACAUGUAGUAUUUUGCAAAUACUGCCCACCCAAGUAUCCAAGGUACCCUAUUUCAUUAUCAAACAAUGGAUAUGGUACUUCUAGUUGAUAAUAUCAUGUGUCAUUAACAACCCUGUCAAACUGAUACACUCAAAAGGAGGAAAGGAAUUAUGGAUAGUUAAACAUAGUAGCACUGACAUAAUAAUGUUUUGAUUUCCAUGAUAAAAUGGUGAACAUAAACGCAAGUCCAACAAAAUUCACCCAAAAACACAGCAUCUAGAAAGCAAAAAUACCAAGAAUUGUCCCUUGACUUUUGCAACUACGGUUGGGUAGAAGAGAUAGGAUUGCAUAAAAAAUACAUAACAAAAAUAGGACAAGUUGGCUAGUGAGAAAGAUCAUACACGCAAUAGAAAAAGGGAGAUGACAAAUUUGGUUUUUGUUGGCCAAGCAACAGAUAACCAAGUUGGAUUGUGAUACUCAUUAUGAGGAGUGGUAUUUCCACAUAACCAAUGCAACUAGUUUUCUAUUUGCUACAAAUCUGUCAAAGAAUCUUAACACAUCACACAUUCCAUAAUAUAGGGAGUAUAUCACAAAUACAGUCUGCCAAAUAAAAUAUAUGAUAUUUCUUAAUCAGACCAUUGAUUUGGUACUUCAAGUUGACUAUAUGGUGCGUCAUUAACAACCUUAAAUUCAUAAUGAACUCAGAAGCAAAAAAAGAAUGAAGCAUCGUGAAAUCCAAUAGCACUGACAUAACUAUGUCUUGAUUUCCUUUCUAAAAAGGUGAACAUAAUGCAAGCCCCAAAAAAAUCACACCAAAACACAACAGUCUGAAUGCAUAAAUAGCAAUGAUUGAUUCAAAAUACACAAAAUUAAAGUUCAAUUAAAUUUCCCUUCCAUUGAAUUCAUUUCGUAGACACCAGUUAGUAAAGGAGCAAAUCAUUUAAUAUAUAAAAAGUAGAUCAAAUCUAACACAAUUUUUAAAAAUUGUAGCAGAACCAUAGAAAAAUUGAAAUAGUUCUAUGGAGAUACGCUAAGAUAAAUAUAUUAUUUGGGAAUAACAUACAUAAAUUGGUUCCAUGGUAUAGUGGUUAGCACUGUAGACUUUGAAUCUGGCAACUUGGGUUCGAAUCCCGAUGGGACCUUUCUAUUUUUUUAUAGAAAGGGAAUUGUUGAUGUGUAAUCAAAUGGUCCAACCUUUUGAUUUUUAAAAGGUACAAUCUUGUUUUGUAGUUGACUUAUAGAAAAGGAGGUGAUGAGUACUCAGAAGGUUCAACCUUUUGAUUUUUAAAAAGUACAAUCAUAUUUUUGUAGUUCACUUCUCUGAGUAUUUAGUAUUUUAUGUGUAAUAUGAUUCUAAGAUAGGAUUGAGAGGUACAUAGGAAUGUAUUAAUACUAGACUUGGGUAGAAUAGUCAGAAAAAUAUGGAAUAGGAAUAGAACAACUUGGCUAGUGAGAUAUGACAUACAUGUGACAAAAAGGGAGAUGGUAAAUUUGGUGUUUACUGACCACCAAAAAGAUAAGUUGGUUGGAUAGUGAUACUCAAGAUACAAAAGAUAAGCAAUGUAUAUGAUAGAGACAACAUCUUCUCACAUGACCAAUGCAACUAAUUUUCUAUUUGCUACAUAUUUGUAUAAGAUCCAUGACACGACAUGCAUUACUAAAUAUACAGAGUAUUUUUGCAAAUACAAUCCACCCAAGUAUCCAAGAUACUAAAUUUCAUAAUCAAACAAUUGAUAUGGUACUUCCAAUUGAUAAUAUUGCGUGUCAUUAACAACCCUAUCACACUAAUACGCUCAGAAAGCAAAAAUAGAAAGAAUUAGGGAUAGUGAAACUUAGUAGCACUGACAGAAUAUUUUUUAUUUCCAUGAUAAAAAUGUUGAACAUAAACGCAAGUCCAACAAAUUCACCCCAAAACAUAACAUCAGAAAGCAAAAAUAUAAAGAAUUGUCCCUGCUUUCUGUAACUAGGGUUGGGUAGAGGAGAUAGGGUUGCACAAAAAUACAAAACAAGAAUAGGACAACUUGGCUAGUGAGAAAGGUCAUACAUGCAGAUGAACAAGUUGUCUUAUUGUCCACCCAACAGAUGAACAAAUUAGCUUGUGAUACUUAAUAUGCGGAGGAGUGGUAUUUCCACAUGACUAAUGCAUCUAAUUUUCUGUUUGCUAAAAAUUUGUAAAACAAGCUUAACACAUCACACAUUCUAAGUUGCACCAACAACUUUAUCAAUAGCCCAGUGAUGGUGUUUCCCCUCCUCGCUGGUGUUUGCCCUCCCGUCGUCUUGCCUUCCACCCCCACGUCAGCGCCGCCAUAGGCCUCGAUGGCCACAAUCAACCUCCCUUCCAUCCCCGACCAUCUUCUUCGACGCCAGUGUCAACCAAUCCCUCUCCAACCUUUACCAAACAUGCCUCGUGCGGCCGCUCGUGGGUAGAAGGGUGGCAGGACUCCUUGUCGGAGGAAGGUUUGGACGUCCCUCCUCGAAGAACCUCUAAAGGCUUUACCGCGACAUGGUGUCUUUUGGGAUGGACGGACAUCUUCCUGUUGUAGCUAAGGACGUGGUUCACGUUCUAGAACAGAUGGUGAUGUCGUUGGCGUGUUGCGAUCAAGAGUAGAGGAAGUCAACAAAGAGGACGUGCGGUCUGGAGCAGGGGACUGGUCCGACGGAACCAAGAAAAGCAUGCCUAGAAGACCAUGGUUGGAAAUUGGUAGAAUUUAGGCAUUCGAAGAGAAAACAUCUGAAUUGGGAUCGAUAGAGACAUGUUGUGUUGUUUGAUCUCAUCGGAAGAUGCUUUAACUUCCUCUCCUAGGGUCAUUUUGCCUUUCGGUGCCUGAAGAAGACUAGAUGCUUCCGCUACCAUGGCCCAGGACAUCUCUCCUAUAAUUAUGUGAAGACUAAAGAUUUAGUAUGGCAGAGAAUCACUACUGCUGUGUCACUCCGUGUGUGUGGAUUCUUAGUCUGGAGGAGGGUCAAACUACCGGCAGACAACUCAGUCAGUGACAACAAUUGGGGUGGUAGUUCUCGACCUGAGGCAAGAGCUUCGGUCUAGAGGAGAAUCACCCAGGCAGCCAUUCGGUCUGUCUAAGAGAAGCGGAUGACCAUCAGUAAAGAUCAGAUUUGCAGGCACAUUACCCAUCAUCAAUCCUCGGGUGAUGGCGCUUCGGGUGAUUGUCCUUCACAAGCUAGCGAGAGUGAUGCUGUUGGAGGUAAUCCCAAUAUUCUUAAGCAUGAUGGUGUUAGUUCCAAGAGAAAGCAGGUUAGGAAGCGACGUUCUAGAGCAAAGCCUAAGGGUGAUCUCGUUCCUUCAUCCUUGGAACGCCAGGAUUGCAUGGAGGCCCAUGAUGCAGUAGUUGCCCCAAUACACCAUGUACCGCCUUGCAUCUUGGGGUGGAUCCACCCAAUGAUGAGAGCGGAGGAUGAUCUUCAAAAUGCGAUUAUGGUGACAGUGACAAUUAUUAGUGACUGGGCUUUGGUACUAGCCUCGAGAUCGUUGAGUUGUUGGCCACGAGACUGGAGGUUGAAGAGAGCUCUUUGGUGUUGCGACACGCCUGAAUGUCAAAUUAUCUCCUUUUCCUCCCUACCCGAGCUUUGGUAGAGGAAUUGACUGGUAGAUGGUCUAUUCUCAUAGUAGGGUCGUUCACUGUGGUUUGCAAGAAGUGAUCUUGUCUCAUGGAGUCUAGGGGUUCCCUACUUCAUGUGAUGAUCAACGUUGAGAUCCAAGGAAUCCCUAUUCAUGUUUGGGAAACAAGCAUAGUGGAUCAUUUGCUAAACCCUUUUGCUUGGGUCCACCAAGUCCACCAUAAUACUUUGAAUUUGAAGGAUGUGGCGGUUUUUUGCUAUUCCGCUUGGUGUUUGGAUCCUUCUACUAUCCCUUCAUCUAAAUAAUUAUGGAUCGUCAAACUUCCUUUUGAAGUUGAGAGUGAUCCCGCAGGAAAAAGAGUGUUGGUUUAUUCAGUAGAAAUUGCGAUUUCGAUCACUCUCUAGCAGGAUGGCUCUAUUCCUAUUAAAAAGGAAAUGUGCCCUUGGGCCAUUUCUAUAAAUGUUUUGGUGAUUAGAUGCUCAACACAUAUUGUUUUGUGAUAAGUAUCAAAGAGAUGCAAAUGGAAAAGCAAGGUAUGACUUUGAGCCUUAGUAAAUUGUUUUGGUACUAACAUAUUCUUCUAAGUGCUAGGAACCUUGUCAAAUCGAGAGAAAUCGGAUCGAAGAAGUUUGGCUCAGGCGACUCAAACUUGCACGGUGUCCAGGCUGGCGCGCCCGAUGAACAGGCUGCUCUAGGGAAAAACUCAUCGCUCUGCGGUUAUAAUUCACCGAACUGUCCGGUGUGCACCGGACUGUCCAGUGAGCCCACGGCCAACAGUUGACUUCACCGUAGGGGGCCAACGGUCGACUGACACCGGAGUCAGAAACGGUCAGAAGGUCAGAAAUGGCCAGGGCACUGGAUUGUCCGGUGUGCAUCGGACAAUCUGGGUAGCGGUCGGAUCCAACGAUCGACUGCUACGUACCCCAACGGUCGGCUGACGUGGCAGGGCACCAAACAAUAAACAGUGCCUGUCCGAUGUGCACCGGACUAUCUGGUGUGCCCAUCGACAGAAAGCUGUUGUUUUUUGUCCAACGGCUAGAAAUGGGGUUGGGGCUAUAAAUACAACCCCAACCACCUCCAUUCAGUACAUUCAAGCCUUCCACUCUCACACAUUCAAUACAAGAGCAAAGAAUCAAUUCCAAUACACAUUCAAAGCUUCCAAUCUCCUCAAGUGCCACAUUAAGACAAGUGAUCAUUAAUGGUUAGUGACUUGAGAGAGCGUGAUUCAUGUUUCAUUUAUUGCUCUUGUUGCUUGGUCGUGCUUUCUUCAUCUCCUUCUAAACUCUCUAAGUGACUUGUAAAGCUAGCAAGAGACACCUAACUGUGUGGUGAUCCUUGCAGGGUCUUAGUGAUCCUUGAGAUUAAAAAGAAGCACUCAACUGGUCUAAGUGAUCGACUGAGAGAGGGAAAGGGUUGAAAAAGACCUGGCCUCCGUGGCCUCCUCAACGGGGAGUAGGUUCAUUGGAACCCAACCUCGGGAAACAAAUCGUCGUGUUCAUUUGUGUUGAUCAUUACUCUACUAUUUGGUUCUUCCUCUCCCCUCUCUCUAAAGUUCUGUUGCUCAAAAUCUUUUGAGUUUGCUCCCAAAGUUAUCUGCAUUGAUUGAGCAACUUAUUGCAAAAAGAACUUUCUUCCGCACUCUGUAUUCAUUAUAGUUUGUUUCUAAUCCUAACCCCAGGUGAAGUUCGUGUUCAAAGUUUAUAAUUUACAGGUUUCGCCUGUUCACCCCCCCCCCCCCCCCCCGCCCCCCGCCCCUUUAGUCGACUUUCACCUAUUUCUCUAUCUAUGGAAUCUGAGGAGGAUGAUCAAUCUUCGCAAAGCAGACGUCUGAUCUCUCAUUCUUAGGGGACUGAACGUGGGCUACGUGAUAGUGCCCAGGGGUCUGCUCGUCGUUUAGUUCAUGACCGAGUAGGUCUUAGGGAUGAUGGUGUUGGCUAGUCAAAUAAUUGUUCAGAUGAUAUGAGAGAUGGGAGAUAGAAUUCUGGUGUUGUGACUGAUGAAUCUGAUCUAGGGGAAAUGGCAGUGUUUCUGUGGUUGUGGAGGAAGGGGAAGGUGGUCUGCAGAUCCAAGAUGACAACCCUGCAGCUAUAUCCAUCAAUGAUACAGGAAAAAAAGGAUGUGGGUAAUCUUCUGGUUUGCUCUAGAAGAUGGCUUAAGGCGAAUGAUCAAACUCAGGAGUUGGAGACAAUAGAUGUUGAGGCUUCUGAUAGAAGGGGGGAGGACAAGAGGUCCCUUUUGGUGGCUGUUAAUCAGAUUACCCUUGUCCCCACCCCUCUCACCUUCAUCCACUCUAAGACUGAUAUGAGUCAAGAUGUUAAUCCUAAUUCUGGAACAAUGAAGAAUGUUUGUUCAACAAGAAACUUGUCGAGUGAGCCAAAUCUGGCCUCAAUGCAGGAUUUGUUCUUCAAGAAGUUAUCCAAGCAGAUAUCUAGGUUGCUUUUGGUCCCAAGUUCUCCUAAAAGAACAUUGCUAUCGAUGUUGGGGUUUGAGUUUGAGCAGUCACUGAUUCUUCUGUCUGAUGGGGCAAGGGGAGGUUUCUUGUUUGCUUGGAGACGUCAUAUUAAUGUUUCUCGGGCAACUAGAGUGGAUUCUUACAAUGUAACUGCCCAAUUAAAGCAAAAUAUUGGGCAGUUCUGGUGGUUAACAUGUGUCUAUGGGCCCCAAAGUUUUGUUUAUAAACUUUUCCUUCCUACAAGAAUUGAGGACAAUUAAAGAAACUGCCCUAGUCCAUGGGUAAUUGUUGAGGAUUUCAAUCUCAUUCUUAAUGAUGAGGACAAGAGCAAUAACAAUCUAAAUAGAGCUUUGAUGGGUCGAUUUCGGAAGUUGGUGAAUGAUUUAGGUCUUAUUGAUCUCCCCUGCAUGGAAGAAAAUUUACAUGGUCCAAUUUGCAAGACUCUCCCACUCUUGUUAAGCUUGACAGAGUUCUAUGCUCCAUUGAUUGGGAAGGGCUUAACCCAAAUGCUUUUGUUGUAGAGUGCUGCCACAUAUGACUCAGAUCACUACCCACUCAUUUUUUGUUUAAAUGAUAUUGUCCCUAGUAAAAGAAGAUUUCACUUUGAAUCAUAUUGGCCGAGAUCGGAAGGAUUUCUAGACACUCGUGCAUGAGUACUACUCUUCGUUGUUGGGUUGUUGUUUGGACAGAUCUACUACCAUUAAUGUUGAUGUUCUAGGGAUUCAGGCCCAUGAUCUUGCUACUUUGGACUCUCCUUUUAAAAAGCAUGAGAUUUGGGAGGGAAUUAAGGGACUGCCAUCCGAUAAAGCUCUUGGGUCGAAUGGUUUCACUGGCCUCUUUUAUAAGGUGUGUUGGUCUAUUAUCAAGGAUGAGGUUUUGGCAGCUAUUUCAACAGUUUGGAGCAGAAAAUUUGAUAACUUUGGUCGUCUGAACACAGCCUAAGUGACCCUUAUUCCUAAAAAGGAAGGAGCGGGGGAGGUUAAGGAUUUUUGUCCUAUCAGUUUAGUCCAUAGCUUUGCCAAGUUGAUCACCAAAAUUUUAGCCAACGGGUCCAGAAAAUUGCAGUCUAUGGUCUCCUUAAAGCAAAGUACUUUCAUCAAGGGUCGGUGUAUUCAAGAUAAUUUCAUGCUUGUUCAACAAACAACUUGUUUGCUCUAUCAACAAAAAGACCAAGAAUGUUGCUUAAGUUAGAUAUCACAAAGGCCUUUGAUUCGGUUUCAUGGUCAUUCUUGUUGAAAGUGAUGCAUGUGUUAGGCGUUGGGCAAAUAUGGCGUGAUAUUAUUAGUGGUCCGUUGGGCUCUUCUUCCAUUAUGGUCCUCUUGAAUGGAGUGUCAGGAAAGAUCAUCCAUCAUAAAAGGGGUUAAGGAAGGGGGGUCCUUUGUCUCCUAUGCUCUUUAUAUUGGUUAUGGAUGUCCUCGGUGGCAUGAUUUCCAAGCUGAAGAGGAGGGGCUGCUGCACUCCUUAUCUACGAGAAUGUUACAGCAUAGAAUCUCCCUUUAUAUAUGCAGAUGAUGUUUUGCUCUUCCUCCAUCCUAAGGAAGUGACAUCUAGGUGGUUCUUGGCAUCCUGCAUUUGUUUGGUGAGGCCUCAGGUUUGAAAACAAUGUGCACAAAAGUAGUGUUUACCCAAUCUACUGUGGUGAGCAAGAGAUUGAGGUCCUUCUGAAAGUGGCCUAGAGGGGGUGAAUAGGCUAAACCUAAAAAUUAUCACCACAAACUUCAAAAUAAUGUCAAAUCAACAGUUCGACUGUUGCAUGCUAGUUCAACUCGAUAGAGGCGAGUUUAACCACUCUGAACCAGUCCAACUGCAAGAGUAGAUCAAGGCUUCAAACAACGAGAAAACACAAUGAGAGAUUCCUUUAGAAAGGGAACGCGGAGGAUAAACUAAGUGUGGAUGGUGAGAAAUACAAGAGUAAAUAAACAAUGAGAUCCACACAAAGAACAACUCUUUAUGCCUUUCUUGCCAAUAGGUUUACCUCCUUCUUUGAAAAAAAGGAGAUGAUAAAUUUGGUGUUUACUAACCAACAAAGAGAUAACUUGGUUGGCUAGUGAUACUCAAGUGACAAAAGAUAAGAAAUAUACAUGAGAGAGACAACAUCUUCUUGCAUGUCCAAAGCAACUAUUUUUCUAUUUGCUACACAUUUGUAACAGAUUCUUAACACGCCAUACAUUUCUUAAUAUACACAACAUUUUGCAAAUACAGCCCACCCAAGUAUCCAAGAUAUUAUAUUUCAUAAUCAAACAAUUAGCAUGGUACUUCCAGUUGAUAAUAUUAUGCAUCAUUAACAACCUUAUCACCAUGAUACACUCAAAAGGAGAGAAAGAAUUAGGGAUAAUGAAACUUAGUUGCACUGACAUAACAAUGUUUUGAUUUCCAUGAUAAAACAGGUGAACAUAAAUGCUAGUCCAACAAAUUCACCCCAAAACACAACAUCCAGAAAGCCAAAAUAGUAAGAAUUGUCCCUUGCUUUUCUGCUACUAGGCUUGGAUAGAGGAGAUAGGAUUGCACAAAAAUACAGAACAUGAAUAGGAGAACUUGGCUAGUGAGAAAGGUCAUACAUGCAACAGAAAAAGGGAGAUGACAAAUUUGGUUUUUUGUUGGCCACCCAACAAAUAUGCAAGUUGGCUUAUGAUACUCAAUAUAUGGAGGAGAGGUAUGUCCACAUGCCAAUGCAACUAGUUUUCUACUUGCUACAAAUUUGUAAAAGAAGCUUAAUACAACACAUUCCUUAAUAUAUGGGAUAUUUUGCAAAUAUAGCCUACCAAAGCAAAUAUACUAUAUUUCUUAAUCAGAGAUUGAUAUAGUACGUCGAGUUGCCUAUAUGGUGUGUCAUAAACAACCUUAUAAUCAUAAUGCACUUGAAAGCUUAAAAGAAUGAAGCAUAGUAUAAUCCAAUAGCACUGACUUAACUAUGUCUUGAUUUCCCUACUAAAAAUGUGUACAUAAACGCAAGCCCAAAAUAAUCUCACCAAAACACAAUAGGCCAAAUACCUAAAUAGAAAUGAUUGAUUCAAAAUACACAAAAUUCAACCGGAAUCAAAUUUCCCUUCCAUUGAAUUCAUUAUGUAGACACCACUUAGUAAAGGAGCAAGUUGCAUUAGUUAGUAUAUAGAAAAUAAAUAAAUUCUAACACAACUAUUUGUAAUGGUAGAAAUAACAUAGAAAAAAUGAGACAGUGCUAUGGAGAUAAGUUAUAAUAAAUAUAUUAUCUAGGAAUAACUUACAUAAAAUGGUUCCAUGGUGUAGUAGUUAUCACUCCAGACUUUGAAUCUGGCAACCUGGGUUCGAAUCCCGGUGGGACCUAUUUUAUUUUAUAUAGAAAGGGAAUUGGUGAUGUGUACUUAGAAGGUCCAUCCUUUUGGCUUUUUUUAAAGUACAACCAUAGUUGUGUAGUUCACUUAUAAAAAGGGAAUUUGUGAUGUGUACUCAGAAGGUGCAAUCUUUUGAUUUUUAAAAAGUACAAUCAUAUUUAUGUAGUUCAAUUCUUUGAGUACUUAAUCUAUUAUAUGUGUUGUAUGAUUCUAAGAUAGAAAGAGCGAGAGGUAUAUAGAAAUGUCUUAAUGGUAUUUCCCCUUGCACUGUGCAACUAGACCUGGGGUAGAAUAGUCAGAAAAAUAUAGAAUUGGAAUAGGAUAGCUCGGCUAGUGAGAAAUGACAUACAUGUGACAAAAAGGGAGAUGAUAUAUUUGCCGUUUAUUGACCACCAAAGAGAUAAGUUGGUUGGAUAGUGAUACUCAGGAGACAAAAGAUAAACAAUAUACAUGAGAUACAACAUCUUCUCGCAUGACCAAUAAUUUUCUAUUUGCUACACAUUUGUAAAAGAUUCUUGACACCCCAUGCAUUUCUUAAUAUGUAGAGUAAAAUGCAAAUACAGCCCACCCAAAUAUCCAAUAUAUUAUAUUUCAUAAUCAAACAAUUGACAUGGUACUUCCAAAUGAUAAUAUUAUGCACCAUUAACAACCCAAUCACAUUGAUACCCUCAAAAGGAUGGAAAGAAUUAGGGAUAGCGAAACCUAGUAGAACUGACAUAACAAUGUUUUGAUUUCGAAGAUAGAAAUGGAGAACAUAAAAGCAAGUCCAGCAAAUUCACCCCAAAACACAACAUGAAGAAAGCAAAAAUAGCAAGAAUUGUCCCUUGAUUUCUGCAAGUAGGGUUGUAUAGAGGAGAUAGGAUUGCACAAAAAUACAGAACAAGAAUAGGACAACUUGGCUAGUGAGAAAGGUCAUACAUGCAACAGAAAAAGGAAAAGAUCAAUCAAAGCUUUGUUGUCCAAAGCAAAAGGAGUUUACUUAAGAAAAUUGUGACUAUAAUUGAACAACGUUGGGAGAUACAAAUGGAUCACCUAUUGUAUGGGGCUGCAAUGUAUUUGAACCCAGGAAAGUUGCAUCUUCUCAUAAGAAAUGAUGAUGCUACUAUUGGGCAUCUAAGAGCUUUUUUAUGUGCUUGCAAGAAUGGUAGAUGAUGAGGAAACUAGAGACAAGAUUAAUUCUCAAGCAAUGGAUUAUGAGUUUCUUAGAGGAGUAGCUUUUUUCAAAUAAGAUGGCCAAAGAUAACCUACAAACUAUGACCCCACGUAAGUGUUUGUGGCUGUUACUACUUACUAGAUGUUGUCUGUUGUUUGUGGCUGCUAGAGUAGCUGCUGUUUUUGGCUGCUACUCUACUAGUAGCUGUUGUUGUUAGUAGAUGCUAGUACCUGCUAGUUGGCAAUAGUUGGUUAGGUGCUACUAGUUGUUGUUUUGUGGCUUUUAUACUUGUUGCUAGUAGCUGCUGCUGUUGUGGGGCUAAUAUAAUUUGUAAUUCCAGCAAGUAGCUGUUGCUCUUGGCUUGCUAAAUUAUUGUGUUGUUAUUUGCAGUUGAGUGGUGGCGUUAGUAUGGUGAUCGUGCUAUUAAAUUACAGAGAUUUGUUAGGCGUUUGGUGAGUCUUUGUGUCAUCAUCAUGUUGUGAACGCAAUUGGAGUACCUUUGAAUUUGUAAGUUAUUAUGUGUGCCUCCUCAAGUUCACAUCUACAUACUUGGCUACUUUUGUAACCAAUAUUUCAGGAAUUAGUGAUUAGGUGUUUUCCUAUUUUGUAGAUCUAUACAAAAAAGAAACCAUUUGUUGCAUAAGAGGUUCAAUUCUAUUGUCUUCACUUCCUAUAACCGAAAGAUGAAAGCUAGGUUCCAAAACCUACGCCAGAAGAAGGGGAAAAAUUUUGAUCCAUUGGUUCAUGAGGACUUCAACUGGGACAAUGAGUGGGCUGAUUCUUUGCAUGUAGGCCACGAAGGUGGACGUGGGUGUGAGUGUGACCUUACAUGAUACCUUGUGGAUAAUGCCAUUGGAGCAUCAAAAACACUUCGUGGCCGAAACUUACCAAUAAGAUCAUAUAAUAUGUAUUCAAGGAGAAAUUCGGUUACUGCACAAAAUGUGUCAGAGGCUGAAGAGGAAGAUAAAGAUGAAGAAAAUGAUCCACAUGAUGAUGCAGAAAUCACAGAUUGUGAAGAUGAACCUAAUGGUGGCAAUGAUGGUGAAGGGGAGGCACCCAAUACCCCAGGAGAGUUUGAUGAUGAUUUUUGAGACAUGGGAGACUAGCUAUUGCUAGAUUGCAUUAGCAUAUUUGCUGCAUUAGCAGCUACAGCUAGUUACUAUUAAUUAUGCCAUUAGAAACUAUCUAUGUGGCUAUUUCAGAUUUGAUAUUAUGUUGCUUUAUAUUUUGUUCCUUUAGAGACUACUUUGUGGCCAUUUCAGAUCCACUAUUGUGAUGAUUUAUAGUUUAUGAGUUGUUUGGUUGCUUGGUUUUAUUUCCUUGUUAUACAGGAUGUUUAUAGAAUGUAUGUUGGUUGGCUGCUGCAGUUUGGCUAGUAAGGCAUCGCCUAGCGCUCGCCUAAGUCGCCUAGGCGUUCAGGCGGUGGCUGGGCGCCUAGUUUUGCCUAGCCGCCUUUAAAACCAUGCCUAGUACGUUGUUUGCACCACAUAUUUUGCUGAACCCUCAAACAUGGCCUCCAAAAUCUUGUAGUUAAAUACAAAACGAUCCGCACAAUGAGAUGAAACUAAAAAUACCCUAAAUAUAUUGACACUAACAACAAGGAAUGACACCAUCACAAAUAUGCAAUUAAGAGAUAAAGUUAGUUAAGGAUGGUGUCAAGGUUGUGUACAUCACAUCGUCACCAACGGCCACACAUUUGUGUAGUAUUUCUGGCCCUGCUUUGCAAAAUAUUCCUAAUUUUGUUAGGUUUUGGGGAGCAUGAUGUAUAGAAUGUUUCUAAUUGUGUUAUGUUUUGUAGACCAUGUCGCAUACAAUGUUUCUAAUUUUGUUACGUUUUACGGGACGUGAUGCAUUGAACACUCCUAAUUUUGUUAUGUUUUGUAGACCAUGUUGCAUAGAACAUUCAUAAUUGUGUUACGGAAGUUAAGCAUCUUUGAAUAUAUUUCUAGGAAUUUACACAUACAAACUAUCCAAGUUCUAAAUUUCCAACACAAGUUAGUUAGCAAUUGGCACUUAGACCUAAUUAAUCAGGCUCUUAGGGCUAGUUUGGAAAACUCAAAUCUCUCCUGAUAGCCCUUAAUACAUGAGCAACGAGCAAACAAAAAUACUACAAGAUGCAGGAAUUAACGAGACAAUGAUAGUACCUUUAAAGCUUGACAUGAAAUGUGUUGGCACGAUGGCACCAAAAGAAGCCACCACAACAGGUACGCAUCAGGACAUGACACAACAGCUGUGUAUCAAAUAGGCAUCCGAAA